GACCUAAGGUAAGUACUAAAUUGCAAGUUUAGUCUUGAAAGUAAAUUUUCGUAGGUCUA
rnacentral:tRNA from 1 species